GGAGAGGUGGCUGAGCGGUCUAAGGCGCACGCCUGGAAAGCGUGUGAGCUGAAAGGCUCCCAGGGUUCGAAUCCCUGCCUCUCCG
rnacentral:tRNA from 1 species